UGUGUAAAACGCUCUCAUGUGUGUGAGCCCAUCUGGGUUUGGGGUUUCGCUGACUUUCCAGCCCACUAUGGGCCUGGCCCCAGGAAAGAUUUGUUGAACGGGAAAUUAAGACGGGAAUUGGUUCGUUUGAGAACCGUUUUCUAGCAGCUGCUGCGUGCUCCACAAGGUGCCGGAACGGGAUCUCCAGAGUGACCUUGUGCCCAAAGCUUGUAGUCAGCGGUGAGAAACGAGAAACGGAUACAAAGUAAUGGGGGAGGUAAAUCAGAGGAACAGGCAUCAGGAACAGAAAUACACAGGAAACGCUGUACAUACGCUGAAGCAGAACUGCAGUUUCCGAAGGCCAGCAUCUGGUCCACAUAGUACUAGAGAAUAUAUUAUUUCCAAAAUCACCUAACUUUUACUCAUGCACUUAUUAUAGUAAGUUGUUUUUGUUCUUUUUUUAAAAAAUAAAUCUCAGCGAUUUGUUCCUGAAAACCUAACUUGUUUAUUGCCUACUCUAAACUAAUUUGGCUUUUGUGUUGCCUGGAAGAGGGAGGAGAAUUUGCAGACUUGUGUUCCGAGGAUCCAGAGAUGCAGAGUAGUGAUGGGAAUAGCAUAUCUCUUACCUAGUGUGUAAUCUUUCUUGGCUUCGGAAGUGUCGUGUUUUUUAGGUGUCAGAUGUUUCAUUAAGUUGAGAACACAUCUGUCAUUAAACAUUAAGAGUAAUCCUUGAGCCGGAAGAACACAAAGCCUGUGUUUUUCAAACUUACUAAGUAGACUUGCUGUGUACAGUAGAGUAUGAUAAGAACAUAUGUGAAAUGUAAGGAUAUGGGAAAGCAUGUUUGUGCAGUUGUCAGGGAACUAAGGAUGGCUUUCAUAGCAUGAUUGAGGGCAAGAAAACAAAUCAUGUAUCUAAACCAAAGAAAUUGGAACAGCGCACCUAAAUUUAAGUUUUUAAUAAAGGAACCAAAAAUAUAAAAUGUGUAUGUUGAACAUACUCAUUUCUGUCUUUGAUUUAAAACCACUCUUGGAGUAUUGGCACCAAACAUCAAUGAUUCAGUUAAAGAAGCAAAGAAAAUAGUAUUCAAAAUGUUUCUUCCAAAGCAUCAAACUGUUACAUAUGAUUUGGAAUUUUGGUUAAGGAAUUCUAUAAUGAAAACAUGCAUGACAAAAAUAUAUUUCAGGAAUAUGUCAGGAAUCUGCACUUAUGUCAAAUGUUUUGAAC
rnacentral:lncRNA from 1 species